GAUGAACGCUGGCGGCGUGCUUAACACAUGCAAGUCGAGCGAAGCAUUUUAAAGGAAGUUUUCGGAUGGAAUUUAAAAUGACUUAGCGGCGGACGGGUGAGUAACGCGUGGGUAACCUGCCUCAUACAGGGGGAUAACAGUUAGAAAUGACUGCUAAUACCGCAUAAGCGCACAGUGCUGCAUAGCACAGUGUGAAAAACUCCGGUGGUAUGAGAUGGACCCGCGUCUGAUUAGGUAGUUGGUGAGGUAACGGCCCACCAAGCCGACGAUCAGUAGCCGGCCUGAGAGGGUGACCGGCCACAUUGGGACUAAGACCCGGCCCAAACUCCUACGGGAGGCAGCAGUGGGGAAUAUUGGACAAUGGGGGAAACCCUGAUCCAGCGACGCUGCGUGAGUGAAGAAGUAUUUCGGUAUGUAAAGCUCUAUCAGCAGGGAAGAAAAUGACGGUACCUGACUAAGAAGCCCCGGCUAACUACGUGCCAGCAGCCGCCGUAA
rnacentral:rRNA from 1 species